UCCACACACAGAAGGGAAAGGGGCUCCCUAGGAAGACCUACUCUUUCUGUUUUAACUAUUAACCAAUAGUGGAAAAACAAGGAUCCCUAAGUUAUGCUUUCAUAGCCAAUAGGAUGGAUUUGUGCAUCCCACAUGACAGCGUUUCCCCUGUCUUUCACAUGGGCAGUAUUUAGUUCAAUUCAGAACUGCAGAUAGUACAGCUUGCACAGCAGCCAUGGGAUGUCGGAGCACAAGUGACUGACUUCCGAGUGACUUUAUGAAGCAGUUUUGUACUUCCCUUCUGCCUUAAAUUGGGAUCUGCAUCCUUGACAUUAAUCUACCACACUCAUCUCUACUGAAGGAGACAGUGACUAGAAUCCCUUAGCACUAGGAAACAGGGAAUUGGAGCAGAAUCGCAGACCAACAAAUGAAGUGAGCUGAAGGCAAUUUGACCAAUGUCUUCGGUGUGAAUUCCACAGAGGCUGACGAAGUGUGUUAUCAGGUCUCUGAGAUCCAGUAUCAGAUCCAGUAUCAACUCAAUAUGAAGAUGCAGCAUUUGAAAGGUUUUUUUUGUUUUUAUUAAAAAUGGAGAAACACCAUGAACAAUGGAACAGAAAAACAGAUAUUUAAGGACACUGUCAAGUCAGUGAAGUUCUGGUUUUAUUGGUUGCUUCAGUGAACAUUCAACGCUGUCGGUGAGUUUGGAAUUAAAGUGAAAACCAUCGACCGUUGAUUGUACCCUCCAGCUAACCAUCUUCUUCCUUGCUUCAUGCUCUCAGGCCUUUCACUGAAGACAGCUACCAAACCAGCACACAAGGUAUCUUUCCCCCUCCUCUCCCAAAUCCUUUUUGUCAAGCUAUUCUAAAAAGGUCACAAUCAACAUUCAUUGCUGUCGGUGGGUUUAACUCUGUGGACAAGCUCACUGAACAAUGAAUGCAACUGUGGCCCCACUUUUUGCAGACACCGCCAAGAGGAAUAUUAGCUCAGAAAGCAGCACUGAAAGCACAAUUCUUUCAUAUAUGAAAGGUCUCUGAUCAAAAAAACUAACAUCUUCAGGAUUUUUUUGUUUUUUGUUUUCAACUGGUUUGACUCAGAUGGUCAAGAUAACAAUCACUCUUCCAUGGAAUUCGUUACAACAUCAAGGCAGAGCAUGCUGCCAUUAAUCUUACUAACUAGAUAUUAACAAACACCUCCUUAUAUGCACACCUGAGGACUUUAAGCACAGGAGGAGGGAUGUUUGAAGAUGCCUCUUUAAAAAACAAAAACAUAAAAACCUCAUCUUGCGCUGCAACAUUGCAAAUGCAGUGAGAUGACUGCUAUAUGUCUUCUCAGCAAAAGCACCAUGACAUCUGUUACAAAUGGGAGCCUGAGUGAAAAGAAUGGCAAUAAUAUUCCUUAUCUUGGUGUAAUACAAUUCUUUGCUAUGUGAAGUUUAUUUAAACACCUAAUAAACAUUAAAAACACAACCCUUACUGGAUUUGCCUCUUUGUUUUGUUUGGAGAGAAGCCAGAAAGAAAUUAUUUAUAUGGCUAGUAACAGGUUCAGUUCAUCUUUUCAAUUAGAGGAGAUAGCACUGAGAGAGUUGUCAUGCUGCAUUCUCUACUGCCGGAUGUAAGGAAAAAAAAAUAUAAAAAGCAACAUUAAAGCAUGCCACAAAGCACACCACAAAUUCCCCACUCCCACCUGUGCUUCACACAAAACUCAGGAACCAGCCUAAAUUUCUAACACCAGCGGAAGGAGUAUGAAAACAUUUUGCUAAGCCAAUUUCAGCCAUUAGCUGCAGUUUCCAGUAUGUGGGUAUGUCUACUCUAGCC